rnacentral:rRNA from 1 species
GCAUAUCAAUAAGCGGAGGAAAAGAAACCAACAGGGAUUGCCCUAGUAACGGCGAGUGAAGCGGCAACAGCUCAAAUUUGAAAUCUGGCGUCUUCGGCGUCCGAGUUGUAAUUUGCAGAGGGCGCUUUGGCAUUGGCAGCGGUCCAAGUUCCUUGGAACAGGACGUCACAGAGGGUGAGAAUCCCGUACGUGGUCGCUAGCCUUUACCGUGUAAAGCCCCUUCGACGAGUCGAGUUGUUUGGGAAUGCAGCUCUAAAUGGGAGGUAAAUUUCUUCUAAAGCUAAAUACUGGCCAGAGACCGAUAGCGCACAAGUAGAGUGAUCGAAAGAUGAAAAGCACUUUGGAAAGAGAGUUAAAAAGCACGUGAAAUUGUUGAAAGGGAAGCGCUUGCAGCCAGACUUGCCUGUAGUUGCUCAUCCGGGUUUUUACCCGGUGCACUCUUCUAUAGGCAGGCCAGCAUCAGUUUGGGCGGUUGGAUAAAGGUCUCUGUCAUGUACCUCUCUUCGGGGAGAACUUAUAGGGGAGACGACAUGCAACCAGCCUGGACUGAGGUCCGCGCAUCUGCUAGGAU